GGUAGUUCUUAGGUGACACACCCUGGAAUCAGGCUCCCACCUCUCUUGUUCUGGGUGCAUCACCCAAGAACCACA
rfam:Myotis davidii contig135586, whole genome shotgun sequence.